rnacentral:pre_miRNA from 1 species
CUUCUACUCCCUCCGUCCGAAAAUACUUGUCAUUGAAAUGGAUGUAUCUAGAUGUAUUUUAGUUCUAGACACAUCCAUUUUGAUGACAAGCAAUUCCGGACGGAGGGAGUACUUG